AGUGAGCGCUGGCGGUAGGCCUAACACAUGCAAGUCGAACGGCAGCACAGUAAGAGCUUGCUCUUACGGGUGGCGAGUGGCGGACGGGUGAGGAAUACAUCGGAAUCUACUUUUUCGUGGGGGAUAACGUAGGGAAACUUACGCUAAUACCGCAUACGACCUACGGGUGAAAGCAGGGGAUCUUCGGACCUUGCGCGAUUGAAUGAGCCGAUGUCGGAUUAGCUAGUUGGCGGGGUAAAGGCCCACCAAGGCGACGAUCCGUAGCUGGUCUGAGAGGAUGAUCAGCCACACUGGAACUGAGACACGGUCCAGACUCCUACGGGAGGCAGCAGUGGGGAAUAUUGGACAAUGGGCGCAAGCCUGAUCCAGCCAUACCGCGUGGGUGAAGAAGGCCUUCGGGUUGUAAAGCCCUUUUGUUGGGGAAGAAAAGCAGCAGGUUAAUACCCCGCUGUUCUGACGGUACCCAAAGAAUAAGCACCGGCUAACUUCGUG
rnacentral:rRNA from 1 species